UCAAAACCUAAAACCCUACAAAGAUGUGCAGCCACUCAACACCGAAAACCCCUCUAUCUCCUCUCCCGAGUCCGGCGAUCGGAGCCGUAUUCCGGCGAGGUUCCUCCGACCGGACACACAUCCAUUCAUCCACCCACCUUUUAUACCGCAAGCCACGUAGCCUCCUUCUGGUUGUUUCUCCGUCAAGCAAGAACAGAGGCAGCACCGCCGCAGGCGGCGACGACGAUUACUUUCUGGCGACACAUUUCUCCGGUGGUCGCUCGGAUUAGCUUUAUUCCCGGUCGGUGAUGAUUGGUGACGAAGGGGAUGGUACUGGAAGUAAUGGCAGCCGCAGCGGAGGUAGUGGCCGUCGGAGACGUCGACCGACGACAACGAAACUGGGCUCGGACUCACGACAGUGGGCUUCGAGUGCAGAUUCAAGGGCCCGUGUUCGCGACAGGAGGAGGAGAUUUGGUGCCAGCCGCCUCGGGAUUCAGUUCAGGUCUCGUCGGGUUCAGUCUCGGGUCGCACACAACAUGUUCUUAACCCUCCGGGUAUGGUUGACCAACGUAACACAAGUAAAUUAACUACCGAGCAAAGCAAAGGUGAGUUCACUACUUUUUACUUAAAGCAUGCAUUCCCGGUGGUUGGGAAACGGAACGAAACAACUCUUCCUGGUUUGGAAUUGCUUACUAUCUCCUUAUGAGGGAUGCGGUAUUUCUAUCUCCUUGUGUGGGAUACGGGUAACAACAUUAUCCCCGGUGAGGGAUACAAACUUACUUUUCUUCCCUUGUUAUUGGGAGCUUUUAGUUAAUUACUGUUUAUACGGAAAUGCAACGAGCAACACUAAACGAAACUCUAUCACUCAAGUCCCUACUAUACAUAAUACCGAUUAGUCGCCGGGGCCAGGCGAACGGGUUAUUAGUUGAUAGCGCUAUUUAGGUCUUACCAACCUCACACCGUGCCAUGGUAUGGGAUCGGUCGUGAACUAAUGUACUCAGGCAUCCGUCAAUGAUGAUAGAACAUUGACAUCGGGGCAUCCUGCGGAAACGCAACGGUUACCUAGUGUUCGGUAUUGGAAAAUCAGUUUAGUCGCUUACUUAUGGGGUAGCUCCCCAUGGCAUGUAUAAACGGGUAAAUUAACUGGUUAAAACAAGUUUUUGGGAAUUAAAACUGGAAAACUGCAAACACGUGAACUCGCCAACAUUAUGUUGACACUCUACUGCAUGCUUUGCAGGUUGCUCGAUACAGCUUUGGACGGACGUUGCAAUCGGAUGGAGUGCGUGGUUCGUAAGUAACAUGUUAGUAAACUUGUGGUUUCAAUUAUGAUAAGUUUUCUUCCCCUUUCCGCUGCGAACUUAAACUCUGUUUUGAAAAAAAAAAAUAUAUAUAUAUUAAAUUAGGUCACUAAUUACGCUAAUGUUUAUAACCAUAACUAAUCCGUUCAAGAUAAUUAGUGGCUAAGAUCCUGGUCGUCACACGCCUCGCGGUAAUACUCCGCGUGUGGAUUUUGAGGGUGUAGUUAUGUAAAUUCAUUAUUCUUAUUGUUUCAGUUUUUCAUCUUCAUUCAAUCAUUCCGUCUACAAUCAAGAAUCUUCAGGUAUCACACGAAACUAGUUUAUGUGUUUUCUUCUUUGUUAUGCUAAUACAGAUAUUGUGUUCUUUAAUGUGUUAUUCUUUUCAGGUUCUUUUACUAGCUUUUGUUUAUUUUUAAUCAGUUUUGAUAAUUGUGUGUUUUUACUUUUUAGGCACGAUUUAAUAAUGGGUUAUUAGAUUUAAUAAUUGUGUGAACCCGUCAGAUAAACCCGAAUACGACCCGUUUUGCUAAACUUGUUUAUGGGUUUAACUCAAAACUAACUCAAACUCAUUUAGUCUAAACUAAAAUACGUGAAUUUCA